AACAUCGCGCACCUGCGGGAACCUGCGGAGGGAUCAUCAGUGUAUCUGGUUAUCUCACCCUUUGUGCCGUGUCCUUGCGGUGGGUUCGCCGCAUGUUUUUUUAUAUUGCAUUUGCAACGCCUGAGCCUGAUCUGUCGAUUUUAAGAACACACACACAACUUUCAACAACGGAUCU
rnacentral:misc_RNA from 1 species